AGACUUGGGUAGGCGUCUAGACAUGUUUAUAGGUUUGUAAAACCAUCAGCUUUGCAUACUCGCUUCUACAGGUUCGGGUUGUAAAUCAAGCUGCAAUUUUUUGCACUUACUUGGGUCAAGUUGCUGUUGUUUCUCCUCCUUGUGCUCACUGUUGCUCGUAGUCUCGGAGCUGGUGCAACCAAGCUCCUUGGGAAGCUUCUCCCUGCACUCUGGGUAGGAGCCGCAAGUGAAGUCCGGCAGGCUGAGAGUUUGCAGCUCAUAGGAAGAGCACUCAGUCCUCUUGGUUGAUAAAGUUUCUGGCUUGAUCCCGUAAUGCCGGCCAUUAGGAUGGAAUCCGGGGAAAGAGACUGAACUGGAAAUCGGUUCUAACCACGAGCGCACGUAUCUGCUGUCUCCAGCUGCAAGAUGCGAUUGAUGCAUGUAAGGAUGAUAGAUUCCUGCAACGGCGGCAGAGGAUUGAGGGUGAACGGGAGACCAGGGAUUUGAAAAUGCGGUUGACUUGGGGGUAAAACUGCAGGAAGAGAAAUCUGAAGUGUCUGCUACACCUGAUGGCCUUGAAGCUGCGCCGUGUGAUCCUUGGGAAUACCUAGCCGCAUAUAAGUCCUCUGUCUCUUGACCUAUGAAAGAAUCAACAUAAUAAUUGUGUAUAGUGCCACCGGUCGACAUUUUAGGCUCUCUCGCUUUCAUAGAAAAGGUUACACUGGAAAGUGUAUCUGAUACCUUCACACAGAACAAUCAUAGUAUUUUGCCGACUACAGUUGCAGCUAUUGGUUGCGGGACUCACGUGAUUAUAUUUACCAAUACAGCGAGUAAAUCAAUCCGCUCAUCAGCCUGACCGCAACGGGGCCAAGCCCAGCUUUAUACCAAAUUGAAAACCAUGCAUUAUGAAUGGAUUAAACAAAAUCACUUGAUCAGAAUUGUUGGAAAAAUUCUGCUGGAUCCAAAGGAGCAAUCUCUGCAAGCGCAGUUAAACCAGCCCUGGAGAAACAUGGGGACUACUUUCCCCGUCAGUUAAUUAAUGUCUGUCACUCAUUUCAUAAUCAGCAGUGCGUAGUCCAUGAUCUAUGUCAAGAGCAGAUAUCUGUUAGCUUAGUGCAAUAAAGCGGCAAGAAAACACCUUCGAGAGUUAACGUGGUUAAGAUUGAGUAUCAACUAUCUCUCCACCUUCACAAAUUAACUCGCAUUGAAAGAACGCAUUGCAACUUAAAUACCCGAUGAACAGUGCGCCAGUGGUAAAGGAUUACUUUUCUUGUAAGUUUCCUGUCAUGUGAUACAGAAGACAAAACCAAAAUGCCCUGUUUAAAUAAUAGGUGCAUUUGCACGGAUCGGGAUGCUACUAAACUCCAAUUGGGAAUUACUUUUCUAUGUAUAACUGUUAUCAAUGAAAAGUAGUUCCGUACAAUUAUUGACAAAGAGUAGGAACUCGGUUGGCUUUGAAAAGAAGUGCAUCCGUAAAUGCAGAUUUAACUUGACUCCUGACGCUCUUCAUUAAUUAGAUUGAGCCUUCUCCAUUACAAAAAAAGUGUAACGAAUUAAACCUUUGACUGGCCGUCUCAUUCAGCUCACUCUCCGCUCCUAACGCUUUGAUUUGUUUCUUGUCUAUGAAAAUUAGAUUAAGGGAUGGCCUUUAAGAAAUAUCACGGAACUAUGCGAAACUCGUUACGUUGUGCGCUAAAAAAUAUCGAAGAUCUAACGAUGUUACUGAAGUUAUUUUGUUUUAUUGCCGCGGGUGGCAGUUACAAGAUAAGCUGCGCAUCCUAAAAGAACAGAGCAUUGAAUUCAUGAUGUUUGAUCCCCACUGCAACCAAAUAUUCUUAGUAUUUCGUACCGGAUAAAAUAACACUUAAGCAUGAAAAUGAUCGUUUGCAUUGAACAUGUGGGAAUCACUAAUGCAAGGUGUCUAUUUAUUAACAGCAAGGUGGCAGUCAUAAAAAAAAAGUAGUUUUGAUCUCCUGGUUAAAGUGAAACUCAAAUAAACAUUGAAGCAGAACUGUGAAAGUUUUGUUUUCGUUAAUAAAGCGGGUUACUAUUUCCCCUAAAUAUUUCCUCAGAAAAUCUUAACAUUGAAUGUUAUUGAUCCAAAUUGCUAAGUUAGACCUCACUUGCUUAUGCCGCAUCAGUAGAUUUAGCUACAAACAGAAAAACGAAAUGUAUGGCGUAUUAUUGACAAACAAAUCAUCGCCAAGAGAAAAAGCAUGAAUAAAUAUGUAACAAAAACAGAAAUGCUGGAAAAUCUAGAAAUCCUCAGCAGGUCAGACAGCAUCCGCGGAGGGAAAUCGAGCUAAAGUUUCAGUCGAUUUCCAACGUUUUCUGUUUUUAUUUUCCAGAUUCGCGACAUUCCCAGUGUCUUGCCGUUCGUUAAAUAAAUGCCUGCCCAUUUUGGUGCCAGUUCUUAAUUAAUCUUUUUUUUUAUAAAACAAAAAUAGACGUAUAGGGGCACGAUAAGCCAUGUUUUGAUAAAUUGAUGUCUACAUGUAAAAGUUUUGUGGCUUGUCUCAAACUAGACGCACUGCAGAUUUUUUGUUUAAUUUCGAAUCUAGCAAUUCAGUGUUAGUCUCCUACCUGUUACGAAAACGUGGUGAUGUUCUAAAGUAUAGUGUAGGGAAAUACUAUUUAAUUAAUAUCUGCAUUAACAUCUGUAUUAAUAUCUGCGUAGCUGCAUUUAUCAAACCUUUAUCUGUUAUGAGAAACACUAUGGUUGACGUUGUUAAAUCAUUUUGUUGAAAUAUCCACGAAUAAUUUAACAAUUUCACCUGUGGCCAUUGGCAAAGCUUCCCAAGUUGUGAAAUGGAUUAAAGAAAGUGAAAUCUAAUUUAGGAUUUAUUGUUUAUAUUUAUAUAUAUAUACGUGCAACAGACACAUGCAUAUAAAUAGACAUGAAAAUUUGCAUCACGACUCCAUCACAAACUCCAAAAAGGAUCUAAGAAUUUCUUCUAGAGACCUGAUGAGUUUAACACGGUAUUUUGUGGGACUACUGUUCAAGAGCAACUUCAGAAUAAACAAUUCAAAUUGUCUGUUUCUGAUACGAUUUUUCACGAUAUUGUCACGUCUGAUUUGUAAUCACUAAAUAAAUUUCAUUUUUCUGUAUAUCCUAAUUUUGUAAAAUGUGAUGUUCUGACGUACGGCACACUUUCCCAAAAUUACACGAAUAAUUGUA